UCCUGGUGGCUCAGAGGGCAAAGUGUCUGCCUGCAGUGCAGGAGACCUGGGUUUGAUCCCUGGAUCAGGAA
rfam:Ovis aries breed Texel chromosome 9, whole genome shotgun sequence.